rnacentral:rRNA from 1 species
AUGAAUUGCUUAGUUUGGAACUAUCAAGGGGCGGGGAACCCUCGCACAGUUCGAGAUCUUCAGGCUCUAUGUAGAGUCAAUUCCCCGAGUAUGGUAUUUUUGUGUGAGACGAGGCAACAGGAGAAUAAAAUGGCUAGGAUCCGCAAUCGGAUAGGGCUUCGAGGUUUUGAAGGUAUUAGUAGUCAAGGAAAAAGUAAUGGUUUGGCUCUAUAUUGGGAUGAUUCUAUCUAUGUUGAUGUUCAAGAUAUUAACGAGAGAUGGAUUGAUGCGUAUGUCCGUGUGACUCCUAAUGACCCACUUUGGCAUGUGACCUUUGUGUAUGGUGAGCCAAGAGUGGAAAAUAGACACCUCAUGUGGGAGAGUUUGUGCAGAUUGAGAAACGGUUCAGAUUUACUGUGGCUUGUGACGGGAGACUUCAAUGAAGCCCUUUGGGAGUUUGAGCAUCUGUCGAUUACACCAAGACCACAGGCACAAAUGAUUGCAUUCAGGGAUUGCUUUGAUACCUGUCAGCUUGUUGACUUGGGGUUCUCAGGGUACCCAUACACAUUUGAUAACAAAAGGAGUGAUAGAGCGAAUGUUCAAGUACGGCUGGAUAGGGCAGCGGCAGACAAUGCAUGGCGUGACCUUUUCCCGGAGGUGGUCGUGUCUCACUGA